UCUUCAGUAGUAUAGUGGUCAGUAUUUCCGCUUGUCAAUCAAUUGACAGCUCGCGGGAGACCGGGGUUCAAUUCCCCGCUGGAGAG
rfam:Cochliobolus heterostrophus C5 unplaced genomic scaffold COCHEscaffold_63, whole genome shotgun sequence.